CUUUUUACCAACAGCAGUCCAGUCUGGUACAAAAACACUAUGCUGCAUACCAUGAGGCACUGCUGAUAUUUACACCAGUACCCACGGUGUAACCCAUGUGAUUUUUGCAGACAUCUUCCACCAAGCAGGGAAGACGUUAGGUAUGUGGGUGCAGGGCUGGACAAGCGUAACAGACAUCUGUCUGCUACCGUUCCAUCGCUUAUUUCCAGCUUCAGACUACACAAACUGCACUAAUGCAGGCACCUCUGUUGCAGGUCAAGAGUUUGGUCAGCAAGGGGAGGACAGAUCACUAGUCCCGGCGCAGGCCAAAACAGGUUCGGUU